rnacentral:rRNA from 1 species
AGCGAACGCUGGCGGCAGGCCUAACACAUGCAAGUCGAACGAACUCUUCGGAGUUAGUGGCGGACGGGUGAGUAACACGUGGGAACGCGCCUUUAGGUUCGGAAUAACUCAGGGAAACUUGUGCUAAUACCGAAUGUGCCCUUCGGGGGAAAGAUUUAUCGCCUUUAGAGCGGCCCGCGUCUGAUUAGCUAGUUGGUAGUGUAAUGGACUACCAAGGCUACGAUCAGUAGCUGGUCUGAGAGGAUGAUCAGCCACAUUGGGACUGGGACACGGCCCAAACUCCUACGGGAGGCAGCAGUGGGGAAUCUUGCGCAAUGGGCGAAAGCCUGACGCAGCCAUGCCGCGUGAAUGAUGAAGGUCUUAGGAUUGUAAAAUUCUUUCACCGGGGACGAUAAUGACGGUACCCGGAGAAGAAGCCCCGGCUAACUUCGUGCCAGCCGCCGCAGUAACAC